UAAAACAAGCAAUGCCUCCUUUUAAAGGAAGUGUAAAAACAGACAUCUGUAACCUAAUAUCGCUUCUGUUCAGUUGAGUUCACUUUUAAAAAUAGUCACAGGACGCUGCGGGGUUUUCUCCAUAAACAGACAACAAUGAAAACCAAACUUAUCAUUUUAUUUUAUAACUUUAAAUGAGGAAAGAUCCGGUGGUGAUGGAUAGCAGCCGUCAAUCAUAAAGACCGGCAGCCCUCGGCGUAAACGUGAAUUUGCUGCAAACACUUUUUUACAAGCCAGUCGCAGCCUCCACGCUCUCGCUGGACGCCAGCUAACGAGGCGAAGAGCUCAUUAAACUUUGAUGAUAACGCGCCGAGGAACAACAGGCUGAUCCGUGUCGCCAGGCCAGCAAAGAUAACUUCUUGACUCUCUUGAAAUACAUUUCCGUCCAUUAGGAAUGUUGAUGGAAAACCUCUGGAGCAGCUUGGUUGAUCUUGGUGUGUUUUCUCCUGCGUUGCGUCCAGAAUGGAGAACAAGGCUGUGGAUCGCUGACAGAGAGGAGACCUGGAGAAGCGCAGCGUGACCCGUUUACGCUCAGAGACGGAUCCAGGACUCUGAACUGAUAAAGUCAGCGUUACUCGGGGCAGAGAUUUACCUUUUAGCGUUUGAAGCGAGCAGCUUUGCUGAGUUUCAUCAAGAUGUUUUAAUGAUUUAAACCCUGCUGUAGACGUGCUCAUUAAAAUCAAAUACAAAAGAGCAGAGCGUCAAAAGCUGAAUCAUAAACCUGGAUG